rnacentral:lncRNA from 1 species
AAAAGGGACGCCGUGAGCUCGUGGCUGCCCAGGCGGAGGCUGUAAACAACCUGGACGAGAAAACCUAAUAGCCUACAACGAAAUCUAAGGCAGC